CCUACGGGAGGCAGCAGUGGGGAAUUUUGGACAAUGGGGGCAACCCUGAUCCAGCCAUGCCGCGUGAGUGAAGAAGGCCUUCGGGUUGUAAAGCUCUUUCGGCCGGAACGAAAUCGCGCACGUGAAUAACGUGCGUGGAUGACGGUACCGGAGUAAGAAGCACCGGCUAACUACGUGCCAGCAGCCGCGGUAAUACGUAGGGUGCGAGCGUUAAUCGGAAUUACUGGGCGUAAAGCGUGCGCAGGCGGUUCGCUGAGUCAGACGUGAAAGCCCCGGGCUUAACCUGGGAACGGCGUUUGAAACUGGCGGGCUCGAGUACGGCAGAGGGGGGUGGAAUUCCACGUGUAGCAGUGAAAUGCGUAGAUAUGUGGAGGAACACCGAUGGCGAAGGCAGCCCCCUGGGCCGAUACUGACGCUCAUGCACGAAAGCGUGGGGAGCAAACAGGAUUAGAUACCCUGGUAGUCCACGCCCUAAACUAUGUCAACUAGUUGUCGGGGAAGCAAUUCCUUGGUAACGCAGCUAACGCGUGAAGUUGACCGCCUGGGGAGGUACGGUCGCGAGAGUAAACUAACUAAUAGUUAGUUAGUAGCGUUGAGACGNGCCGACGGACGACGACGAGGGAGGAGG
rnacentral:rRNA from 1 species